rnacentral:rRNA from 1 species
AUUGAACGCUGGCGGCAGGCAUAACACAUGCAAGUCGAACGAGUGGCGGACGGGUGAGUAAUGUCUGGGAAAAUGCCCGAUGGAGGGGGAUAACUACUGGAAACGGUAGCUAAUACCGCAUACAAUCGGAUGUGCCCAGAGGGGAUUAGCUUGUAGGUGAGGUAACGGCUCACCUAGGCGACGAUCCCUAGCUGGUCUGAGAGGAUGACCAGCCACACUGGAACUGUGACACGGUCCUGACACCUACGUGAGGCAUCCGUGGGUAUUAUUGCACAAGGGUCGCAAUCCUGAUGCAUCCAUGCCGCGUGUAUGAAGAAGGCCGUCGGGUUGUAAAGUACUUUCAGCGGGGAGGCGUUAACCGCAGAAUAAGCACCGGCUAACUCCGUGCCAGCAGCCGCGGUAAUAC